rnacentral:rRNA from 1 species
AGUGGAAGUGAAAUCCAUGGGCUCAACCCAUGAACUGCUUUCAAAACUGUUUUUCUGAAGUAGUGCAGAGGUAGGCGGAAUUCCCGGUGUAGCGGUGGAAUGCGUAGAUAUCGGGAGGAACACCAGUGGCGAAGGCGGCCUACUGGGCACCAACUGACGCUGAGGCUCGAAAGUGUGGGUAGCAAACAGGAUUAGAUACCCUGGUAGUCCACACCGUAAACGAUGAUUACUAGGUGUUGGAGGAUUGACCCCUUCAGUGCCGCAGUUAACACAAUAAGUAAUCCACCUGGGGAGUGCGACCGCAAGGUUGAAACUCAAAGGAAUUGACGGGGGCCCGCACAAGCAGUGGAGUAUGUGGUUUAAUUCGACGCAACGCGAAGAACCUUACCAAGUCUUGACAUCCUGCGACGCACAUAGAAAUAUGUGUUUCCUUCGGGACGCAGAGACAGGUGGUGCAUGGUUGUCGUCAGCUCGUGUCGUGAGAUGUUGGGUUAAGUCCCGCAACGAGCGCAACCCUUAUGGUCAGUUACUACGCAAGAGGACUCUGGCCAGACUGCCGUUGACAAAACGGAGGAAGGUGGGGAUGACGUCAAAUCAUCAUGCCCUUUAUGACUUGGGCUACACACGUACUACAAUGGCGUUAAACAAAGAGAAGCAAGACCGCGAGGUGGAGCAAAACUCAGAAACAACGUCCCAGUUCGGACUGCAGGCUGCAACUCGCCUGCACGAAGUCGGAAUUGCUAGUAAUCGUGGAUCAGCAUGCCACGGUGAAUACGUUCCCGGGCCUUGUACACACCGCCCGUCACACCAUGAGAGCCGGGGGGACCCGAAGUCGGUAGUCUAACCGCAAGGAGGACGCCGCCGAAGGUAAAACUGGUGAUUGGGGUGAAGUCAUAACA